rnacentral:rRNA from 1 species
AAAAACAUGUCUAUAUGAGAGGUAUAUAAAGUCUGACCUGCCCAUUGGGAACUAAAAGGCCGCGGUAUUAUGACCGUGCAAAGGUAGCAUAAUAAUUAGUCUUUUAAUUGAAGGCUAGAAUGAAUGGUUGGACAAGAAAUUAACUGUCUUAGGUAAAAAUAUUAAAUUUAACUUUUAAGUGAAAAGGCUUAAAUAAAUUAGAGGGACGAUAAGACCCUAUAAAACUUUAUAUAUUUAUGAACUAGUAAUUAUUUUUAUUUAUAAAAUUUUAGAUCAGAGUAUUUUAUUGGGGCGAUAAAAAUAAAAUUUAAAGUAACUGUUUUAUUUUUUAACAAUAAUAUUUGAAUUUUAGAUCCUAAAAAGGAUCAAUAGAUUAAGUUACUUUAGGGAUAACAGCGUUAUUUUUUUUAAGAGUUCAUAUCGACAAAAAAGUUUGCGACCUCGAUGUUGAAUUAAAAGUUCUUUGUGGGGCAGAAAUUACAAGAGAGGGUCUGUUCGACCUUUAAAAUUUUACGUGAUC